rnacentral:rRNA from 1 species
UACGGAGGGUGCAAACGUUGCUCGGAAUCAUCGGGCGUAAAGCGCACGUAGGCGGUCCAGCAAGUCGGGUGUGAAAGCCCUCGGCUUAACCGAGGAAGUGCAUUCGAAACUACUGGACUUGAAUACUGGAGAGGAUCGCGGAAUUCCCGGUGUAGAGGUGAAAUUCGUAGAUAUCGGGAGGAACACCAGUGGCGAAGGCGGCGAUCUGGACAGAUAUUGACGCUGAGGUGCGAAAGCGUGGGGAGCAAACAGG